GAUGAACGCUGGCGGCGUGCCUAAUACAUGCAAGUCGAACGCUGGAAAUCUAGCUUGCUAGAUUGAAGGAGUGGCGAACGGGUGAGUAAUACAUAAGCAACCUACCCACGAAGACUGGGAUAAUCUCUGGAAACGGGGACUAAUACCGGAUAGGUAAUCGGAAGGCAUCUUCUGAUUAUUAAAGGUUAAAAACACUGGUGGAUGGGCUUAUGGCGCAUUAGUUAGUUGGUGAGGUAACGGCCCACCAAGACGAUGAUGCGUAGCCGGCCUGAGAGGGUGAACGGCCACAUUGGGACUGAGACACGGCCCAGACUCCUACGGGAGGCAGCAGUAGGGAAUUUUCGGCAAUGGGGGAAACCCUGACCGAGCAACGCCGCGUGAGUGAUGACGGCCUUCGGGUUGUAAAGCUCUGUUGUAGGGAAGAACGGUAGAUAGAGAAUAUCUAAAUGACGGUACCUUACCAGAAAGCCACGGCUAACUACGUG
rnacentral:rRNA from 1 species